GUUCACCUCCGAGCCCAGCGGGAACAGCACCGCCACCGCCGCCUCCGCCGCCCGGAGCCAACAACCGCCCAGCUGCCCAGCCGCUUCCCACCGUCGCCGAGGGCCACGCCCAUUGGCCAGCCGUGGGGCCCUGAUGGAAGUCCAUUGGACCACAGCGCUGCCGUUUCCUCGGGUCCGCCUCCUCAUCCUCCAUUGGCUCACAGCUCAGGGGGCAGGUUCCGAGGGUCAUUUCUCCGCUCCCCACACACACACCUCUGGAAGCGGUGGCAUCUACAUUGAUUGCUAGGAUGAUGCAGGGCAAACGUGCAGAUGAGCCUACGAUGACGGUGGGUGGCGUUUGCGCUCUGUCAUGGGCCAUUAAUACCCACACCUUGUCAUCCUUGUCAUCCUUGUCAUGAACGCUUCCUCCUGCCACACCUCUUCGAGGUGUCAGAGAUUCCGAUGUGCCAGCCAGGGUCUCCUUGCCGGACCUGGUGGCUUCUUCCUGCACCUCCUACCUCAUGGAUACAAAGGGGCGGGGGGGGGGGGCGGGAUUCUAAAUCUAAGCUGGCGUGUAAACUGCAAACAACAUACAGCUGUGGGACUGGAGAGACACGUCUCCACGGCUAAGAACGCUUGCUACUCUUGGAGAGUUUGGUGUUCAGCACCCACAACAGGUGUUUCAGAACCCCCUGUAAGUCCAGCUGUAAGUCAGGGUAUCAAGAGAUUAAUCAUCUCAUCACCAUCAUCUCAUCAUCAUCGUCGUCGUCAUCAUCGUCAUCAUCUUAACAAAAGCAGAGCACAGAGGCCCAUGCUUUUAAUCCCAACAUUUUGUCCUCAACUGCCUAUGUAGUAAGGAUCACCUUAAACUCAAUCAAUAUCCUCCUGCCUCCAUCCCCGCCAGUGCUGUUUUUGCAGGCUGAGGCUACCGCAUCCAGCUAAUUGCCACAUGCUUUUAUUUCCCUCAAUAUUUUAGGGAACUGCGGGCUCACUGCUGGCUCUGCGACUGCUGCGGGUGCCCGUGUUUCUGUUUUGUUUGGGGCUUUGGUUGUUUUGAACUAGCAAACUGUUUCUGAACGCGAUGGCAUCGUUUAAAGUUCCCAUUGGGAGUGGAAGAAAGUUCCAGAUGCCCCCCCCCCACGUGUUCCCAGGGUGAUAUAAAUACAUCCUGAAGAAAUAAACAAGAGAAUGGCAGUCGUGUCUCCUGGAAACAACUCACAGUCCUCGAUGUGAAAGUGACUCAGAGGCUCCUCUGGAGUUUACUGGGGGAGGAAAGGACAACUCAAGAGGAGGACAAACAGCGCGGAAAUGCUGAGUUACCUCAGCUUCUGCCUCCUGCCUCCACCUUGGCUUAAAAUUUUGGGUUUGUUAAAAAUUAAAGAUUUUGGCUCGGCAUGGUAGCACACGCCUUUUACCCCCCUCCCUCCCAGCUCUGGAGAGGCAGAGGCAAGUGGAUCUCUGUGAGUUCGAGGCCAUCCUAGUCUACAGAGGGAGUUCCAGGACAGCCAGGGCUACACCGAGAAUCCCUGUCUUAACUAUUUCAUACAUCCUGUGUGAAAAUGUCAUGAUGGAAGCAUGUGCUACUAAAAGCACUUAAAAUGAAU
rnacentral:lncRNA from 1 species